rnacentral:rRNA from 1 species
GAUGAACGCUGGCGGCGUGCUUAACACAUGCAAGUCGAACGGAAAGGCCCAAGCUUGCUUGGGUACUCGAGUGGCGAACGGGUGAGUAACACGUGGGUGAUCUGCCCUGCACUUCGGGAUAAGCCUGGGAAACUGGGUCUAAUACCGGAUAGGACGAUGGUUUGGAUGCCAUUGUGGAAAGUUUUUUCGGUGUGGGAUGAGCUCGCGGCCUAUCAGCUUGUUGGUGGGGUAAUGGCCUACCAAGGCGUCGACGGGUAGCCGGCCUGAGAGGGUGUACGGCAAAAUGGGGACGGGGAGAGGCCCCAGCCCCAGAGGGGAGGAAGGAGGGGGGAAUAGUGCAAAAGGGGGGCAAGCUGGAGCCGGGGAGGCGGGGGGGGGGAGGAGGUCUUUGGGUUUGUAAACCCUUUCCGCAGGGGACGAGGCGUUUUGGGGAGGGUCCGUGGAGAAGAAGCACCGCCAAACUACGC